rnacentral:lncRNA from 1 species
UUUGUCGUUGUUUUAUCACUCUCCGUACAUACAACCUUCUUCAAUAUGAAUUAAUAUACAGCUGAGGUCCCUAAAAUAAAUGUAGUUUUUAGACCAGAUCUCAUAAGUCUUUUCUCUUUAGAUGUGGCCUUGUUCCUAGGUAAGGGGAUUGUAAAACAGUCUCUCUAUAUGGCCAUUGACACUGGUAACAGUACUAUCAUCACCAUGCUGAUACACAACUUGUGCAGUUCUGGCAAGGUUCAAUGAAGCAUUGACUAUGGAUGCAGGCAAUGCUGCCGGAGCCACUAACAUUCCAUUGAGCUCUACCCACAAGCUGCGAAUCAGCUGCCUUAUGUGCUUUCUGGCUUCUUCUUCACAUGAGAUCGUCUUCUCCCUCAUGUAACAUUCUAUACUAGAUGCAACAUCUCCUCUCUCUUGCUCCUCCUGUAAAGGGGUUAAAAAGAAAAAAAGAAAAUUUAAUUUUUUCUAACACAAAUGUAUUGAUUGAUAAUACAUAUUGAUCAAGUUGAUGCUCAAAUCACAUACUCUGGCAGUUCCCAAAUCAUCCCAGAGCCGAAGAAUUUUGCCUGAGCAAGAGAAGAGAUUAGGAUAUGGCUCCAUCAUUGCCAAAGUUUCUUUGGUAACGCCUUGUCCCAUGAGACAGAAAGCAUGCACCAAUGCCAUAUAAGUACCUCCUGUUGUAACUCCAUUUCUUAAAUAUUGCUCUUGUGUGGGUACAUAUCCCUCACUAAACCACUUAGCUUCAGAAAGUUGAGCUUUAAAUAUGUCGAUCCACUGCAACAAAUUAAAAAAGGGCCUCUUAGUUCGGAUGAUACAAUAUCUUAAAUAUAUUACAUUUGUAAUCUCAGCAUAUCCGAAAGAGCAUUACCGUUCUUUUUAAUUGCGGAACAACGUUCCAUCCAUGAUCUUUGAGAAUCCUGUAGGAAAUUUCAUUGGUGGUAUUGUACAAUGCCAUGUAACAUAUCUUCAUAUAUUCAGGAAUAUGCUCCAUUGCACCAAGAUCCCAUCUGCAUUAUAAAUUAAUUGCAAAAAAUCCGCUGAAUAAUAUUAUGUAUUGCAGGCUGCAGAGGCUCAAAUUAUAGAUAGUAAUGUAAAACGGGAGGCAUCAAUCAAACCUUUGAAUUGCUUCGGUGAAGAGAACCAGGUCGCUCAGUGAGCCAUAAGUGUCAAAGAUAUCAUCAAUGACCAAUAGCAACGCAAUGGUUUUGGCUAGCUCAAUCCGGCAAUUAGAAUAAUAUGGUUCCGGAAAUAUACCCACGGUCCAUAAGAAGCACUCUAAUGGUCUAUCUCUACCGAAGCCAAGUUUGUCAACUAGACCCAAUUGCUUCCACCACCUAAAAGAACAUAACAGAAAUACCAAUUAAUUGUUGACGUUGACUAAAUAAUCUACCAUGUUAUUGUUAGAGGCCCACCUUUUUAUCUCAGCCAACUCUCUUUGGUGCAAUGACUGAACCAUAUUAAAAUCUGACUUUGCAAGUUGAAGCAGAGUCUGGUAAUGGUUCCAUGAUUGGCUAUAUUCAUUAAUGUAGUUUCCAGCUUCAGAUCUCGACAUCCUCAAGUGCCUUGGAAGUGCCAAGGCUUGAACAACAUGCCUACUGGAUUGUGAAUCCAUAAGUGAUACUGACUGUGUGAGUUCAGUUUUUGUGAAUUCCAUGGCUUGAAAUAAUAUGUCUUCAUCUUGUGUGGCCAAGUAAGAUGCCUCAUACAAACUCAACAUACCCCGUGUAUCUUUCGACACGGACUCCUUUAGCUUCCCUUCCUUGUUAAUAAAUUUCUUGAAAAUAUCUAUUAACCAAACAAAAAAUUACAUUAAAUUGAAAUCAUAACUUACAAGGGCAUAAUCACAUUGUCAUUCACUUAAAAAUGUAACACCAAAACUCUCUUCGAUGAAAGGCACUGUGAUUUUACUGGGUUAAUUUAGUAAUUUACCGGUGCAAGCUGGUAAUCCAUUUUGCCUCAGCAACCUAAAACGAAGUGCAUUUUCAAAGAGAUUUUCUUCACCGGCUGCAUCCCCGUCGGAAAACUUUUCAAGUCGUUCCAUAAUUUCAUCUUCAAAAUGGUACCCUAUUCCCAGCCGCUGAAUGGUGUCGAUCAACUUCAUUGUAGCCGUUGGAUCAUUGCUAGAUUUCCUCAGAGCCUUCCUUGUUCUCUCUUGCAAUUCUUCUUCCAAGCUCUUGGUACCACGAUCACCUUCAUAUGUUAAUACCUAAAAACAACAACAUCAUAAAAUGUAAUCAAAUUAAAGCCAUAAAAGCAAUAUCUAACGGUAGCAAAAGAAAGACAUGGGAUGGAAAAAUAUUUAAUUAAAGACAUGGGGUGGAAAAGUAUUUAAUUAACAUACGUUUUGACGAGGCGAGGUUUUGAAAUCUGUGACCAAUGGCUUCGGCAGAGACGAUAACUGGCAUAUGCAUGACAAUGAAUUUGAAUGCAGGGAUCGGCCCUGCUGCCAUGAACGUGUUCUUAGUGAAACCAGUGGCCCUAAACGUAAAGAAACACAGCUUGUUGUAGGCAUUUUCAGUUUUUGAUCAACUGCUGCUUAAUGUAUUGCAUGCAAUAUUGAGGCUGAAUGUGAACAUAUAUAUAGUAUCGAAUAUUUACUAAGAACUAAUACAUCGUUGUAUUUACACCUCCUUAUAGGGCUGCGAGUUUGGGUUAGUUCAAGACGUAAACGUGCAUGCAUGUAUAGUUGUAAAAUGAACAAGUCACUAUUCUUUUGAGAAAAUUUCCCCGCCAUAUGUUCUUAAUUCAUCAAUGGAGCAGAACUCUAGUCAAAUUUUUCUUCUUGUUGCGACUUUCGAUCAAUAAUCGUAACUAAAUUUACCCUACAAAUUUUUGGUCCAGCUCGCAAUAUUAGAAUUCUGUCAAGUUGAUUAUAGUAUGUUUAAUAUCUUCGCCCAUAUGACCAACUAGGCUUAUUAAUUUGUUGGACAUUGCUUAUGAGAAAGUCCAACUAAGCAGCUAGCCAAACCUCUUAUUAAUGAGGUUAGAAUAUAUCACUGUCGGUCGUCAUAAGAAAGUCCAAUUAGGCAGCGACAUCAUAUUCAAUAUUAGGAUCAUGGUAUGUUACUACAGUGGAAUUGGACAGCUACAUUAUAUUUAAGGAUCCCUCUAAGUUACAUGCAUGUACCUUGCAACCCUCUCACAUGAAUAGUAUCCAUACACUAUUCAUGUGAGAGGGAUGUAAGGUACAUGCAUGUAACUUAGCAUUACCCUAUAUUUAAUAUUAGGAUCAUGGCAUGUUACUACAGUAGGAGCAUACCAUACUUUUGUCUUUUGGGUUAAUUACACUGCAAUCCCUGUUUUAUUUUAAAAUUAAAAAUUAGAUAAUAUUAAAUUUUGACUCAUUAGUCCUACUUAUUUUGAUUUUUUUAAACUUAAAUAAAAAAGUGAGUGUAUUUUUUAAUUAUUAAUUCACACACCCAUCAUCAAAGUUUUAAAAAGAAAAUUUACUCCAUACACUUACCUAAAUGUCAAAUAUAUCCUUGAUAGAACUAAUUUUUUAUUUGUACUAAAUAAAUUAAUUAAAAUGCUAUAAAAAAAUUGAAUGAAUUCUUUACAUGCCUACUAAUUUCAGCUCCAUAUCUCUAGAAAUUAGCAACUAAAUUCUGUCACUAACUCAAAAUUAUUGAACAUGAGAUACGAAAAAGGUUCUCAAAUAAGUGUGGAGCAUAAAAUGGCUUUACCUCCAAAUUCUUAUUAAAAGUUUCUAAACUUAUUCAUCAAGCUCGUAGAUGUAAGAAUACAUGAUGAGCAAGUUGCCAUCCCCUCUCACUUUUUGAUACCUUCUUAUUAAACAAUAAAAAAAUUUUUAACUGGUAAAUUAAUAUAUUUUUAUUGCAUAUUGAAAUUAUUUGCUGUAUAUUGAAUAAGUAUUAUGAAAAAAAUAUUAACAACAAAUUAAGAACAAGAGACCAAAUUCAUACUCAUAUUUAUCAUAAAAUAUGGUUUGUAAUUAAUACAUGGUUUUACUAUAUAUUAAAUUAAUUAAUUAAUAAGAAAGAAUAUUAAUUUAAAUAUAUUAAUUCAAAUAUAAGAAUGAAUCAAUUUAUCGGUGAAAUUAACUAGGUCAUUUGACACAAUAAAUUGUAUUGCAUUAGUUGCAUUGUAUUACAGUUUGUGUCAUUAAGGUGUAUUAAAUUGUAAUACAACAUCAGGUUUGGUGCAACAUGAACUGUAGUAUAUAUAAUAAUAUUUUAUAUCACUAUUUAGAUUACUAUUAAUUUUAAAUUAAUAUUAUUCAAAUUUAUUAAUAUUUAAGUAUUUAUUAUUUGUUAUAUUAAAUAUUUAAAAAUAAUUAAUUUUUAUACACUAAUUAUUUUAAUAUAAUUAAAUAACAUAACAUAAUAUUAUAUUAUAUUUUUAUUUUUAUACAUUAUUUAUGUAUUUAUUAUUAGUUAUAUUAAAUUUUUAAAUAAUAAUCAAUUUUUAUAUUAAUUACUAUAAUAUAAUAUUAUAAUUUUAUUUUUAUAUAAUAUUUAAGUAUAUAUUAUUAGUUAUAUUAGCUUAUUAUAUAAUAAUCAAUUUUUACUUAUUAAAUGUUAUAAUAUAAUUAAGUAAUAUAUUAUUUAAUUAUAUUUUUAAAGUAAUUAAAAUGUUUUAAUAUUAUUGAAUAAUGAAUUGUAAAUUUAUGGACUUAUGUGUCAAUAUUUUUGUUACUUUUGUGAUUUUGCAGUAAACAUUAGGAAGUUUAAUGUUAAUAACCCAACAGCAACAUCUUAGCCAUUGCACUUGUUUUGAGUUUAAUCUAACGGUUGAUAAGGAAAAGACAAAAGAAUGUGGUAUGUUACUACAGCGGUAACAUAAUUGGACCCUUAAUAUUAUCCUUGCAAUAUUGGUGACAUAAACGAAGGAUCCAAAGUAUAUGGAGUAUAAAUUUUGAAAAAUAUCAGUAGAAGUCCGACUAUACUCAUACAUAACACAAAGAACAAAAUAGAAAAGAAACGAAAACGGUUUGAAAUGAAAAAUAAUUCUUAUAACUCACCAUAAGUGAACUAAAAAGCACGAUCUAUGUCAGUUAAGAGGCCACAACUAUUGCUUACACAACAUGUUUAUAUGCUAACUAUGCAUUGCAAUCUCCUUAAAAUACCUAAACUAGAAGAUGUGUAACAAAACAUUUAAGACGUGUGGAAAAAGCAUUAUUUAUUAAUUUGCUUGGUGGGUCUUUUACUUAUUAGACUUGCCAUUAUAUAAAAUUGUCUUACUUAAAUCCCAAGUUUAUCUGUAAAACGCUCAUACGACAUGAAUCGGACCUCAGUUGAUACCAGAAUCUUUGUUAGUGAAAGUAGUAAGGAUUGCUCCUUUAUUGCUCUUCUUCUGAUCCCUGCCAGUUGCUUGAGGGGUUAAACAUUCCCUCUUUUUCUCUUCUUCGUUGCUCUUUCUGCCUCUGUUUCUCGCAGCAGCUUGCACUGCUACUACUCCCCCCUCCCGCCUCUCACAUUUUUUUAAACACUGCUCGUAUUGCCGCUUUGGAUCUUGGUGAUGCGGAUUGCCGUCUUCAUCAUCAUCAACAAGAGCGGAGGCCAUAUAAGACUAGAGGGUGCCCUGGUCCAUGCAAAAUUUUAAAAAGUUAGUGUAAAAUGUCCAUAUUGGCCCCUGAACAAUUAAUGUAGAAAGUUUAUAUAUAAUAACAUAAAAAUUAGAAGUUUAAAAUUAGCCCCCGUAGAAUUUCCCCCUGAGCUCCGCCCCUGAUCAUCAACAACAUCAUCGACAAGUCCUCCUCAUUAAUUGUUUUUUGUAUUGUCUCUCACAUCUUUACAUGCACUACCUCUUUUGCCUUGCCUCUUACUUCUCGCAUAGUUGCUAAAAGUACUUUUCCUCCAGGUCGCAUGGGACGCUAUUAUGUCUUCAGAUUGCUCUCUUUCUAUUUCCUUAUCACGUUCCCAUUGCUCUUUGCGGCACUCUUCCUUAAGCUCUCUAAUCGCCUGCUACUCUUUACAAUGCCUCUGACACUGUUAUUGUCGCUCCUUUCAGCUAGAAAGUAUUAGAGGUAUUGCUCAAGGAGCUCUCUGAUUCGCAUUCACUUGACCUCCUCUUCUAACAAGCUGAACAAGAAAACAAGCACGAUAACUCCUCCUUCAUUUCACAGCAUGUUGGGAUAUAUCCUUUUAGGGAAUAACAAAUGUAGAGAAUUGCAGUAAUAAUGGUGGAAUUUUGUUAUAUAAAGUAAGGUGUUUACAACUUUGUGUAUAGAAAGAAAAUAAUAAUAAUAGGUAAACUGCAGAAAAAUAAUGUGUAAUUCAAGGCAUGUUACAAAUGUUACUUUCUAGAAUAUAAUGAAGCAUUUAUUUGUUUAUUUGCAUUGUGCAUUGACGAAAACAAACUUAAAUAGUCUUGAAUGUUGGAAGCUUGCCAAGAAUCAAUAUAUUGUUCCUACAGAAAACAAUAUACUGGAUAUUGAUGCAUAAAAAUAUGUGUUAUACAAUGAAAUUCAUUUUAAAAAAGAGGAAUAAGAAAAAGAGUGGUGUAGGUUCAUUAUGUUUAUGUCUAAAUAGCCUAUACAUGACCUCUAUUUAUAGAUAUACUUGUGCCCUUUCGUUUCGGUUGUCACCUUUUAUGAUAUCCUUUCAUUCAUGGCAAUUGGAUUAAUAUUUGAUUUUAACCAAUGGUUCAAAUUGAACCAUCACCAUUUCAAAUUAAAUGAUAUUAUGAAGGGAUGUAUCCUUAAGUGAAAAGAUACCCCUUCUAUAAGUGAUGACUCUAUGAAAUAAGAGUUAUCAUGACACUUUUAGACUUAAAUCAAUAUUAGUUAGAGAGCGAAUGAUGUGUUUUUAUUGCAUUUUAGUUACAUUUUGCAUGUGCAUCAAUUUUAGAUUAUUUUUGUGUUUAAAUUGAAUUGAUUUGGAUUAUUUUGUGUUUAAAUUACAUACAUAAUUGUAGGUAGCCAAAAGCUCAAAUUUUAGGAAUGGAAUGUUGCUGCAACAUACUUGCAGAGCUAAUGAAAGAACUUGGCUACAGAGGAGUUAAAACAAGUUUGGAACAGUGCAUAUGCUGUAGUAUUGACAGACUGGAUUUCACAUGCAAUAACUAAAAGAUUUCGAUAUGAAGUUUCCAAAAAUGAAGGAUAUGCGCCACACACUUUCGGUUGCCCUAGUCUCGAGUUAUAAAAGGAGCACGCAUGAAAAGAAAAAGGAGGAGCUGUCAUCAAGGAGCAUACAAAAAAGAAAACAACAAGAAAAAAAAAAUUAAGAGAGAUAUUGAGGGCUGUAAUAGAAGAUUCGAGGAGGAACAUAGAAAAUAUCACUAAGACCAAGUAGAACUAAGUUCUUCUUCUUAUUUUCUUGUUUUCUAUUUAUUUAUGAGAAUGUAUUUGAUGGCUAAAACAAUUUUAUUUAUUGUUUUAUCGCAAAUCAUGAACUAAAUUUGAUUGUGGUUGAAUGAUAAACGAUCUUAAUGGAUGUUUGACUGACAUAUGUGUCUUGCUCUGUAUUUGCUAUAAUAUUUUAUCUUAAUUUCACCUAUUGCAAUUUUCUAUUUCGACUGACCACCCAUUUGGUGGAUAUUAGCUAAGAAAGAGCCUAAAAAAGAUCUGACUUAGUAGAUCAAAUUAAGACAAUACUUAGUUUUAGAUUGAGUUUCCCAAAUUGAGUAAACCUUAAUUUGAAUAAGGCCAUAUUUGAUCUAAACUUAGUGAAGAACUAGACAUAGGAAUUCAUCUUAUAGGGCAAUUAGAACUUAGAACGCAUAAUGUUAUAUCUAAUGUUAGCAUAACAAUUAAUCAUUGUAAGGUUGCAUUUAGAUAUAAGAUUUUUAACAGGUGACAACUGAGGAUGCAUAAGAGAUUCUGCCCAGUGCUGUAAUAGAUGUUGUAGCAACAAGAUCUUAAUUAGAGAAACAAUCAACAUCAUUAAGUGAGUUUAAUCACUCAACUACUAUAUUCCCAUUGAGUUUGUCCUCGUGUUUGAAGUGAGAAUUUUCUUUAUUGCAUUUUUAGUUUAAUUAAUUCAUUAGUUUCACAAAUUGUCUUAUUUUAAAUAGAACAAACCUGCAUUGUUAAGAUUGUUGUAGCAAGUUUGAUAAUAUCAGUUUUUGUGGAGAUGAUCUGAAUACUCAUCAGUAUAUUACUUGUUUUAUACACUUGCACACUGACACCUAUAGUAAUAGAAAUCACCCAACAAUAAGGCACAAUUAAUUAGACAUGUCUUUAUAAUAAAACAUCAUUUAUUUUAGGGUUAAUUUCAUUUUACCCUCUUAUUAGAUUGACAUACUUCAAUUUACCCUCUAAAAGUAUGAAAACUUCAAUCUACCCCUCAAAAGCCGCUUUCUCUCUGUUAAUUUGAAUGAUCCAAAGGAUAAAAUUGUAUUUGUACAUUUUCUGUUAGGCUGAACUAAAUAAGAAAGUCAAACCUCAAUUUUUUACUUUUAUUCAUAGUCGAACGUUUCAAUAAAUUAAAGCAUGCACCUAAAUACUUUAAUAAAUUUCACUAUACAGCCAAAUAGUUAUUAUUUUAAAAUUGAUUUUUUUGUUAAGCUUUUACGAUAUAUAUACAAUCAUUUGAAAUUUUGAAUGGUUGCUGCUGAGAGCAAUAGUACAGAAGAAGAAGAAACAAGAAGUAGAAGUAAGAAAAAAAAAAGAAAGAAAAAGAACGAAAAGAAGACGAUAAGGAUAAAAGAAGACAAACAAUUAAAAAAAAUGAUUAAGAAGAAAGGCAGGAGAAGAAGAAUGAAAGAAAAAAGAGAAAAAUUAAGAAAAAGAGAAAAAGAAAUUGAACAAAUGAAUUACAAUUUUUUAAAACUAAAAUUUUAAAAUGUUAUCAGUUUUAUAUUUUUAAUAUUUUAAUCAAAAAAUUUUUAAAGCAAAAAUUUUUUCUUUAAUGCUCGAUUUCUUCAAACAGUCCAAAUAAUAAAAUUAUCCAUUUAAUUCUCACAAUUCUAAUUUUCAUUCAAAUCUCUAGAUAACAUUUUAUCAACCUCUUUAAUUUGUUCUAACAAUGGAUUCAAUGUGCACAAAAUUUCUUGCAAGUCCCAAUUAGAAAUCAAAAACCCAUUUCAAAGAACUAAAGAUUCCUUUAGAAAUGUAACAAAAAUAUAAUUUGCUAUCAAAAUUAGUUCUAAAAAACAAUCCAAAUCAAUGGACUCAAACUCUACCCUUCAAAUUAAAGCCUUAAUUAAAAUUUAAAAAAAGAAAGAAAAGAAAGAACAAAGAAAGAGCUUUUGUUGUUUAACUUAGAAAAAAAUACGUUUUUUUUUUUUUUUUUCCAAAAACCCUAGCCACCAUGCCUUACCACUUCAUUUUCCCACCACUAUAAUUCAACCUUCCUUUCCACCAUCAGACAAUUUGACAACAAUUGCUGGACAAAACCCAACCUUCUUCUGCCCUUGAUUCGCCACGGCAACUGAUAACUCUAUGAAAUGAGAGUUAUAAUGACACUUUUAAACUUAAAUCAAUAUUAUUUAGAGAGUAAAUUAUGUGUUUUUAUUACAUUUUAGUUACAUUUUGCAUGAGCAUCCAUUUUAGUUUAUUUUUAAUAAAUUGAGUUACUUUAGAUAAUUUUUUUGUUUAGAUUAUGUGAAUGAUUGUAGGUGACCGAAAAACUCAAGUUUUAAAGAUGGAAUGCUGCUGCAACAAACCUGCAAAGAUAAUGAAAGAACUUUGCUAAAGAGGAGCUGAAACAAGCCUGGAACAGUAAAGAUGCUGUAGCCAUUGGUGUAGCAAUUUUGGAUUAAUGACAGACUGGAUUUUACGCGCAAUAACUAAAAGAUUGCAAUUUGAAGUCUCUAAAAAUGGAGUAUGCGCACCACACACUUUCAGUUGCCCUAAUUCUAAGUUAUAAAAGGAGUACACAUAAAAAGAAAAAAGAGGAGCCAUCACCCAAGGAGAUUAAUGAAAAGAAAACAAUGAGAAAAUAAAAAUUAAGAGGGAGAUUUGAGGGAUGUAACAAAGGAUUCAAUGAGGAAAUAAAGGAGAAAUCACAUAGACCAAGUAGAACUCAAUUCUUCUUCUUAUUUUUUUGUUUUCUAUUUAUUUAUGAGAAUGUAUUUGAUUGAUAAAACAAUUUUAUUUACUAUUCUAUCAAAAUCAUGAACUGAAUUUGAUUGUGGUUGAGUGAUAAGCGAUCGUAAUGGAUGUUUGAUUGGCAUAUGUAUAUUGUUUUGUAUUUGCUUUAGCAUUUUGUCUUAAUUGUAUUUAUUACAAUUUUCUAUUUCAGCUGACCAUCCAUUUAGUAGAUAUUAGGUAAAAAAGAGGCUAAAAAAUGUCUGAUUUAGUGGAUCGAAUUAAGAAAAUAUUUGGUUUUAGAUUAGAUUUCCCAAGUUGACUAAAUAUCAAUUUGAUUAAGAUCAUGCUUGAUCUAAAAUUAGUGAAGAACUAGAUAUAAGGAUUCACCUUGUAGGGUAAAUGUAACUUAGAAUGUUAAAUGUUAUGUCUAAUGUUAGUAUAAUAAUUGGUCACUGUUAGGUUGCAUUAGAUGUAAGAUAUCCAACAUGCGACAGCUGAUGAUGCAUGAGAGAUUAUGUGCAGUGCUGUAGUAGAUGCUGUAACAAUAAUAUUGUAAUUGAAAAAAUAGUCAAUGCCAUUAAGUGAGUUUAUUCCCUCAACUAUUUCUUUCCCAUUGAUUACAUCCUUGUGUUUGACGAGAGAAUUUUUCUUAUUGUAUUUUAUUUAUUGCAUUUUUGUUUCAAUUAGUUGAUUAGUUGUUUUAAUUUCAUUUAGAACAAAAUUGCACUGUUAAGAUUGCUGUAGCAAAUAUGAUAAUAUCAAUCUCUGUGGAGACGAUAUGAAUACUCAUUAGUAUAUUAUUUGUUAUGUACGCUUGCACAUUGACACCCAUAGCAAUAGAAAACAUCCAACAGUAGCGUCGCUCAAAUCGUCCAAAUUAGGAGCUCUACCACUUGUUCGCUACAGCUAAGCUAGCCAUCACUGCCGUCAAUCCAACCCACCAUUUGAUUCAUUCAAUUCCAACGAGCACACCUGGGCAAAUAACAUCCCCAAUUGCAGCCAAAACCUUUUGUUUGGUGGGAAGAUUUUGGAUGGUUUUUGGUUGGGGUUAACAGAGAAAUACAUGUUUUAUGAAAGAGGAGAAGAAAAAAAGAAAAAAGAAACAAAGAAGAAGAUAAAUAGGGAAGGGAACGAAAAAGAUGAAGAAGAAAGAAAAAAGAGAGAAAAAGUUCCCUUUUCUAAUAAUUUUUGAUAAUUUAAUUUUUUGAUUGUGUUAUAUGCUCUAAUUUUGAUUAUAAUAAUGUUGAUUGAUGGAGAAAAUUAUUUGAUUUGAUGCAGAGAAGAAGGAGAAAGAUGCAGAAGAACAAAGAAUAGAUAAAGAAACGAAUAUGAAAAAAAGAAAAAAUAGUAGAAGACAAAGAAAUAAGAAAUAAAAAUUGAUUUUUUCAAUUUUCAUUGUGGUGAUAUUGUAAAUAAAAUUCUUGAUUAUUAUAUUUGCCUUAUAAAUUAAAUUAUAAGCAAAAAUGAAUUUAAUUUUUUAGAGUCUUCUAUGAAUUUUUUAUAAGGGAUUUUCAUUAAUAAAUUUAUUUUUGUCAUCUAACUUGAAAUAUGUUAGACUUUAAGGGGCGAAAUAAAAUUAUCCUUAUUAACUCGACAUAGUUGUUAGUUAGGGAUAAGGGCAUUCUCGUAUUUUACUAAGUCAACAUCAGCCAACUGUUAAAAAUAAUGAUUUUUUGGGGUAAAUUAAAGUGUUUGUACUUUAGAAAAUAAAUUGAAGUGUGUCAAUUUAAUAAGGGGGUAUAACUAAAUUUACCCUUUAUUUUAAAAACUAUUCCAACAAUCCCUCACUAUUUUUAAAAUAAACGACUUUAAAAAAAUUAUCUCGUAUAGGCUUGGAAAACUUAUGCAUAAAUGUGUUAGCCUAUAUGGCUAUAAAAUGUUGAUUUUGAUGAUAACAAACCACACGUUUUGGAUAAACAAUGAAUUACAUAUUAUGUUUUUUGAAACAAGAAAAUGAUCUUAUGAAAUUAGUUCUUUUCAAGUUUAUAGUUUAUAUUGAAAAGUUUUGAGAACUUUGAAAUCAACAAGUGUUAUUUUAAAUUUUGGAAAUGGACAUGUUUAUAAAGUUUUAUAAAGAUUUAUGCCAUAGUAUAAUUUUAUAAAGUAUUAGGGCCAAAUUAUAAUUUUAGAAAAUAGUUGUUUCACUGUAGCAAGCUGAUGACCAGACUUACCAAAACGGCAAACCGGUUAUCAAGCAGAACCUCUCUGCAGUAAAACCAACUAACCGCAAAAUAAAAAGCAGCAAACCAGAUGUUCAAAAAUUCAAAAAUUUGAAUAUAACGGUAACAUCAAGAUGCAAUUUGGUUAACACAAAGCAGCAAGUCAAUAACGACUAGUUUUCUGCUCCAACUAUAAAAUGGCUUCAAUCAAAUUCAAAUAAAAAGAUACAACCAUUAUUAUCAUUGAUCAUUCCUCUGCAAUCUGAGCAUAGAAUUUGUGUAUUCAUUUCAUUCAUUCACACACACUGGACUUUCAUUUUUAAUCAAACACAUUGUGUGAGGAAAAUUUAGUUGUAAUCAUUUUUGUAAAAUCAAGUUGAGAGGAUGUAAGUGUUGGGAUAUAUUUAAGUGAAGAGAUUGAAGAUAAUCUCUUGUAGUAAUGGUCCAUUAACACCUUGAAAGUCAAUUGUAAGCAUUUGAACCCUUGGUAGGCUUGGAUAGUGAAAUUCUCAAGUUUGGUUUGCUUGGAGGCGUGGACGUAGGCGGGAAUUCUUGAACCACGUAAAAAUAUUUGAGUUUGCUCUCUCCUCCCUUACUCUUUUAUUUUUUAGCAUUGUUAAAUUUUUUUUUUAUUUCAUUGAGGCAUUAGAUUAAAUUGUUGUAUGGUUUGGUUAACUUAAAUUUUAAAAACCCAAUUCACCCCCUCUUAGAUUGCAUAACUAGUAUUUCAUUUGGUAUUAGAGCUUGGUUCUCUUAUUAGGACUUAACCGUCUAAAGUAAAAGAUCCAUGGCAACCUAAAAUAACUAUACCUUUAGGGAAGAUCAAUCUACAACUAGGCCACCGUUCUUUGAUGGUAAUGACUACUCUUAUUGGAAAAAUAAGAUGAGAAUUUAUUUGCAAGCACUAGAUUACGAAAUUUUGGGAAGUUGUAUGUGAUGGUCUAUUCAUGCCUAUAACUAAAGAUGAAGUAGGGGAAGAUAUUCCAAAACCUUUACGGGAAUGGUAUGAAUUGGAAAAAAAGAAAAGAUUCUCUAAAUUCUAAAGUUAUGAAUGCCUUGUUUUGUGCACUUGACAAUAAAGAGCUUCAUAGAGUGUCUAGUUGUGAAAGUGCUCAUGAAAUUUGGAACAAACUUAAAGUUGUUUAUGAAGGCACAAAUAAAGAGAAAAAAUCUAAAAUUAGUAGAUACACUCGACAAUAUGAAUUGUUUCAAAUGGAACAAAAUGAGAGUGUGUAUUCUAUGUAUACUAGAUUUAUAGAUACAGUGAACACUCUAGGAGCCCUAGGAAAAAUCUUUUCGAAUAGCGAGAAAGUUAAUAAAAUUAUUAGGUCACUAUCAAAGGACUAGAGACCUAAGAGAACUGCUAUUGCGGUAGCAAAAAAUUUAAAUACUUUACUUAUUAAUGAUUUAAUUAGCUCUCUUAUUUCUUAUGAAGAGGAUUUGGCAUCCGAAAGAGGAGAUGAAGAUAAAACGAAGAAAAACAUUACCUUGAGAGCAUCAAAACCUAAAAGUGAUGAGGAAAACGAUUUCGAGGAUGAAGAAAUAACUAUGAUGACCAGAAAUUCAGGAAGUUUUUCAAGAAAUCCGGUGAGCGAAGAAAAUUUAGAAAUCUCAAGAACCAAAAGGAAAAGAAGGAAGUAAUCAUAUGCUAUGAAUGCAAGACGCUUGGCCAUAUAAGGUUGGAGUGCUCACUUCUCAACAAAUUGAAGAAGAAAGCCACGGUGACUACUUGGGACAAUAGCGAUUAAGAAUCAAAUGAUGAAGAAGAUUCACAAGAAGUGUCAAACCUAGCACUUAUGGCAAUAGGAGAUGAUGAACAUGAUAAGGUAAAUGAUCUUCCUACUUAUGAUGAAUUGUAUGAUACUUUUAAAGAGUUGCAUAAUGAUAUGAUGAACAUUGGUAAGAAAAAUGCAUGUCGUAAUAAGAAGAUGUUAGAACUUUCAAAUGAAAAUGAUGCCUUGCAUAAAUGCAAUGAUUUAAUAAAUGAAAAGAUCAAGGAACUAGAAUUAAAUAAUGAAAUAUUGUAUGAUAGGAUUGCAUUUUUAAAAGGUAAAUAAAGUACCUCAUAUGAGCAUGAAAAAUCAAAUGUUGAUAAUUUGUUCAAAGAAAAUGAAGAGCUUAAGAAGAAGAGCAAUGAACUCAAUAAGAUUGUGUUAAAAUUCAUAAAUAGUCAAAAGAACUUAGAAAAAUUGCCCAGCUUUAAAAAAUGUGUGUUUAAUAAAGAAGGAUUUGGGUAUAAGCCUAACUUAAAACAAAAAUACUACAAAAUUACUUUGUAAGGCUACCUCCACUAGUGAUCAUAAAAUUGUUUGUCAUCAUUGCAAUAGAAAUGGUCACAUGAAUUAUAGAUUCCCUGUUAAGAAAAAUGCAUAUUAUGAAAUCAAAUGUGUUUGGGUUCCAAAAGGAACCAUUGCUAACACUCAAGGAUCAAAAACGUUUUGGGUACCUAAAACUUAGAAAUUUCUUCUACAUGAAUCAAAGAAGAGGAAAAACAAAUGGUACUUGAACAGUGGAUGCUCAAGACAUAUGAUAGGUAAUUAUUCUUGGUUUUCAAGCUUUACCAAGAUUGAAAAUGGUGGAGCUGUAUCAUUUGGAGAUAAUUCGAAAGGAAAGAUCAUUGGUGUUGGAAAUUUUGGUAAUGUAUCCUCUACUCUUAAUGAAAAUGCGUGUUUGGUUGAAAACUUGAAACACAACUUGCUUAGCAUUAGUUAAUUAUGUGAUAAAGGUUAUAGAGUUAUCUUUAAUAAAUGAAAAUGUGUUAUUGAGAUUGUAUGUGAUUGCAAGAUUCUGUUUGUAGGAAAUAGAUGUGUUAAUAUUUAUACCAUUGAUAUAAAUUGUACAUCUACUAAUGAUAUAUGUUUUUCAGCAUUGCAUGAAGAUGGUUGGUUAUGAUAUAAAAGACUAGGUCAUGCAAGCAUGAAUUUGAUUUCAAAAAUUUUAAAAAAUUAUUUAGUUGAAAGUCUUUCAAAAAUCAGUUUUCAAAAAGAUAGAAUUUGUAAAGCUUGCCAAUUUGGAAAACAAAUCAAAACUUCUUUAAAAAACAAGAAUCAUGUCUCAACUUCAAAACCACUUCAAUUACUUCAUAUAAACUUAUUUGGAUCUUCAAGAUAUGCUAGCCUAAGUGGCAAGUAUUAUGCUUUUGUAAUUGUUGAUGAUUUUUCUAGAUACACAUGGGUACUAUUUUUAGUUAAUAAGGAUGAUACUUUUGAUGCUUUUAAAAUAUUUUGUAAAAAAAAUCAAAAUAAAAAAAAGGGUAUGGUAUCGCAUGCAUUAGAAGUGAUCAUGGAGGAGGGUUUGAAAAUCAUGUAUUUGAAACCUUUUGCAAUAAUUUUGACAUUGUUCAUCAAUUCUCUUGAGAGAAAGAAUAGGUCUAUCCAAAAAAUGGCUAGAACCAUGUUGAAUUGGGUCAAAGCUGCCAACACCGCUUGUUAUUUUUUAAAUUGUGUAUUGAUUAGACAUUAUUUCAAUAAGACUUCCUAUGAGUUUUGGAAAGAUAGAAAAUCUAACAUAGGUUAUUUUAAAGUUUUUGGAUGCAAAUGUUUUAUUUUAAAUACAAAAGAUAAUCUUGGCAAAUUUGAUCCAAAAUUUGAUGUUGGUAUUUUUCUUGGUUAUUCAAACACAAGCAAACCUUGUAGAGUGUAUAAUAAAAUAAUUUUAUUUGUGGAAGAAUCUAUGCAUGUUACAUUUGAUAAGUCUAACCCUUCCUCUAUGGAGAAAGUUGUAUUGAACGAUGAUGUAGUUGAAGAUUUACGAGAAGAAUUAUAAAAAAAAUAAACAAGAGGAUAGACCACAAGAAAAUCAAAAGGAUAAAGAAGAAGAACAAACAAAUAUGGAGCAAUAAGAAGGUACUUCUCAAACACUCUCCAAGGUGUGGAGGUAUGUUUUCUCUUAUCCUAAGGAAUUAAUUUUAGGUGAUCCUUCACUUACUGUUAUCACUGGAUCAUCACUUAGGAAUACAUGUGAGCAUGCUGCAUUUAUAUCUCAAAUUGAACCAAAAUUCUUUGCGGAUGCGGAAAAUGAUGAAUCUUGGAUUAUGCCAAUGCAAGAGAGUUAAAUCAAUUUGAGAGAAAUAAUGUGUGGGAAUUAGUUCCUAAACCAGAACAUCAAUCCAUUAUAGACACUAGAUAGGUAUUUAGAAAUAAAAUGAAUGAAUCCGAUGUGGUUGUAAGGAAUAAAUAUAGAUUAGUGGCCUAAGGAUACAACCAAGAAGAAUGAGCUGAUUUUGAUGAAACAUUUGCGCUUGUAGCUAGAUUAGAAUCUAUUAGGACGUUGUUAGUAUUUGCAUGUCAUAAACAUUUCAUUUUAUAUCAAAUAGAUGUAAAAAAUGUUUUCUUAAAUGGUUAUAUUUUGGAAGAAACGUAUGUGAAACAAGCCCCUGGUUUUGAAAAUGAAAAGUUUCCAAAUCAUGUUAUAGGUUGUCUAAAGCAUUGUAUGAAUUAAAACAAGCACUUAGAGCAUAGUAUGAUAGGCUUAAAAAUUUCUUGUUGGAUAAUGAUUUUUUAAUGGGAAAAGUGGAUGCUACUCUCUUUGUUAAGCAUAAGAACUAAGAUUAGGGGUGGCAAAACGAAUAAACGAAUCAAAUUCGAAUCGAAUCGUAAACGAAUUGGGUCAAAAUUAUAUGGAUUCGGAUUCGAUUCGUUUAUUAAACGAAUUGAAAUUUUAGGAUUUGGAUUCGAUUCGUUUAUUAAACGAAUAUUCGGUUCGAUUCGUUUAAUUCGUUUAACAAAAUUGAUAAACGAAUCGAACCGAAUCCAGAUUCAUUUAUUAUUCGUUUAUCCUAUAUGAAUCCAUAACGAAUCGAAUCGAACCAGGAUUCGUUUACGAUUCGUUUACAAUUCAUUUAGAAAAAUAUAAUUAAUAAACAAAAUUAAGCAAAAAAAACACAAAUUUAAUAUCCCACAACAAAAUAUGAAAAUACAAAUAAUUCAAAUCAUAUUAUACAGUCAUCCAAAUACCAAAUUACAAAUCCUUAAUAUUACAAAUAACAAUAAUUCAAAUUCAAAUUAUAAAGAAAUGUAAUUUCUUUAAUUCUCUUCAUUUAUCUUUGUCACCUUGAAAACAAAAAUCCUACACCAAAAAGUAAAUAAAAUGUUAUUAACAUGCUGCAAUAUUGAUAAUAAUCAUUGUAAAAUUUCAAAAAUAAAAUAUAUAGCAAAUUUGUAGCAUUUUCAAGGAAAUAAUAAUUAAACAAGAUAAAAACUUUACCUACCACACUCACACACUGUUAUUUGGACCAUUGACACUCUCUGCAGAUGGAGCACAAUUAGUGCUCAUGUUCAUAAUGUUUUGAGUAAGUUGGUCCACAGUGACAUCUAAAUUUUCUACAAUAAUUUUAUAAAAAUAAAUCUUAAUUAGAAAAAUUGCACAUAAAUUAUAAAAGAAAAGUAAAUAAAUUUUAUGAGCAAGUUUUACCAAUCUCUCCAAACUUCUAAUCUCUAGUAGUAAUAAUUGCUUGGACUGUCUCUGGCUUCAAAACACUUCGAAAUUGAUCAAGAACUCGACCGCCAACACUGAAAGCUGAUUCAGAUGCAACAGUGGAUAUAGGAAUGCUCAAGAUAUCACGAGCCAUGAAAGAAAGGUUAGGAUAACGAAAUCCAUUUCCUUUCCAAAAACUUAGAAUGUCCAAAUCAAUCUUUCUAUCAAUUCUUGGCUCAUCUAAAUAAAGCUCCAAUUCAGAUUUUCUAACAUAAGCACUACAAUCCAUGUUAUCAAAAUCAUCAAACUCCUACAAAAUAAUUAAGAAAUAAGAAUAGUCAAAAUUCAAAACAAGCAUCUAAAUAAUAAGUCUUACAAUGAACAAAUAAGAAAAUUGUAAAUAUACCUUGAACAUAUCCAUGGUCCUUUGGUUAAGUGUACUUUGACUAUUGUCAUUACGUCCCGCACUUGAACCAACAUCACUCAUUUGAGUGAGUAUGGAUGUAGUGGAGGAAGAUGGUGUGAUCAAAUUAUACUCACCAAAAAUUGAAAACAAUUUAUCUCGAACAUGUUUCAACUCCUCCGAAUUUUGACCAUAAACCUUACUAUAAGCAAACUCAAUAAAUGCCAUCUUAUAUCUAGGAUCCAAGAUGACCGCUAUGGCCAAAAUCGUACAAAAAUCAGACCAAUACUUCUCAAAUUUUUCGAUCAUUUUUUGUGCCAUAGUUUUCAUGCCUCACUACACAAUAAUUGAUCCAAAGCAACCUUAGCCGCAAACACCUUCGGAAAAUACAAAUUUGAAGUGGGGUAUUUUGAACUAGAAAAAAUGCAUGUGAUCUCAUAAAACAUAGACAAGAAUUUGCCAAUCUUUUCUAUUUUCCCCUAUUCGUCUUCAGAAGGACAAUUCUUGUAAUUAGAAUCACUCAAAUGUAAAUGACGGAAAGCAUUUUUGUAAUACAGAACACUAUCAAGCAUGAGAAAAGUUGAAUUCCAUCUUGUAGGAACAUCUUGUCUUAAUCCUUUCUUGUCGUCUAGAGAUACUUGCUGAACACACUCUAAAAAUUUUUUUUUUCUCACUUGUGACCCUUUGACAUAUUUCACAGUCUCACGGGCUUUUUCUAUUUCUUUCUCAAUUUAUUUCAAUCCGUGUUGAACAAUUAAAUUAAUAAUAUGAGCACAACAUCGAAUAUGAAAGAAAUCUCCAUCACACACCAAAGCAUUCCUUAAUCUCAAUUGACUUUUUAACAUUACAACACAAACAUCAUUACUUGAAGCAUUGUCUACAGUCAAUGAAAAAAUCAUUUUCUCAAUACCCCAUUCACACAACAAUGACAAUAUUUUUUCAGCCAAAGCAACCCCAGUGUGUGGAGUUGGCAUUUCACAAAAAUUCAGCACUUUUUUCUGUAAAUUCCAUCACUUAUCAAUGAAAUGUGCAGUGAGACACAAAUAACCAUCUGUAGUUAUAGAAGUCCAUAAAUCAGUAGUAAGACAUAUUCUACUAGGAGCUUCUUCUAACUUGCUUCUAAUUUUUAUCUUUUCCCUAUUAUGCAUUUUUAACACAUCGGCUUUCGCAGUGUUCCUACAGAUGUUGGGCACUUCAUCACACAAAUAAUUCCAAAUUCUUCUAAUUCCCUCAUAUUCAACAAAUUGAAAUGGCAAAUCAUGCAUAAUAAUGGCACAAGAUAAUAAUUCACGAAACACACGAGCUUCAAACUUGGGAACACGAGUUGACAGUCCAUCACUACGAUCUAACAUCAUUUGUACAGGAUCACGCUUUUUAAAUUUUGCACAAGUUUCAUAAUGUCUUCUUAGAUUACCUGUACCAGAAUUGCGCACAGCCACGUACUCAAUGCUGCAUUUUUUACACACUGCUCUCGGCUUGUUGUCCGGAUACUUAUCUCCCGAAACCUUACGGAACAACGACCAAACUUGUGAAGUUAGUUUCCUUUGCCGUGGUGCCUUUUGUUCGACUGGCCUUAAACCCUUUUCAAUCUCUUUUUCCAGUUCGAUUAUGUCAUUUACAUCAUCAUCUCCAACACUAGAAUCGUUAAUUGUGUAGGCUGAAUUACUUUGGCUUGUGUCCAUUCUCCUAAAAAUAAAAUAAUUCUAAAUUAUUUUAAAGGCCCUAAUUAAUCAAAAAAAUUUAUUUCAAAAGAAAAGAAACAGAGAGUACAAGAAUAAAAGAAAGCCAAAGCCACAUGAGUAUAAUUAGAAUCUAAACAAAUCUAAGACUAAUAAAUCAAGGAAAAAGUCUAAUAAAGACAAACCCAUGCCAAUACGUAGUAGUUACUAGUUAGCACUUGCUGGUAAUUAGAAUCUAAACAAAUCUAAGACUAAUAAAUCAUGGAAAAAGUCUAAUAAAGACAAACCCAUGCCAAUAAGUAGUAGUUAGCACUUGCUGGACUUGAGCCUGGAUGGAAAAAUUAAAAAAUAAUAAUAAAAGAAAAGGAUUUGGAGCUUACUGUGAGUUUGUGAUUUACGCAAAAUGGUUACUGUUGCCGGUUGAGAAAUUAUUGAGAUGGUUGUCGGUGAUUUACUAGCCGCUAGUUGCUAAGAGAUGGAAUUAAAGGGAAAGAUUCAAAGAGAUGGCAAAACGUAGUAGAGCAGUGGCUGGUGAGUGGUGUUUGGUGAUUAGAUCUACUCACGAUUUUGACUUUUGAGUUGCUAAGAGACAAGGGAAAGAGAGACAAAGUGUGAACUGUGAAAUUAGGGUAUUUGACUUUAUAUAUUAGGCUUAAAAUUACAAUAUUAACCUUAAAAUUUUAAAAAGCUUUUAAAUAAAUUUAAGGAUAAAAAAGUAAUUUAAUUAAACGAAUAAUAAACGAUUUUUAAACGAAUUGACCCGUAUUCGAUUCGUUUAUGACCCAUUUAUUAAACGAAUUCUAAACGAAUAAACGAAUCAAAAUUUUCAAACCCGCAUUCGAUUCGUUUAAAUAACGAAUCGAAUCGAAUUCAUCCAUUUAUUAAACGAAUCAAUUUUUUCAAACCCAGACCCAUUUAAUUCGCAUCGAAUCGAAUCGAAUAAACCAAUCCUGACCUAUAUUGCCACCCCUAACUAAGAUUUACUUAUUGUUAAAAUUUAUGUCGAUGAUAUUAUCUUUGGUUCAACUAAUGAGUCUUUGUGUAAAGCGUUUUCAUCUUGUAUAUAAGUAAGGAAUUUGAGAUGACAUGAUGAGAGAAUUGAAAUAUUUCCUCAGACUUCAAAUCAAACAAAACAAUGAGGGAAUCGCCAUCAACCAAGCCUAAAUAUGUCAAAGAUCUACUCAAGAGAUUUGAUAUUGAUGACUCAAAGACUAAGAGCACUUCUAUGAGCACAACAAUCAAGCUUGACAAAGAUGAAAAAGGUAAAGAGGUUGAUAUAAAAAUAAAUCGAGAUAUGAUCGACUCUUUACUUUACUUAACUGUAAGUAAACCUGAUAUCAUGUUUAGUAUAUAUUUGUGUGCAAGAUUUCAAUCAUGUCCUAAAGAAUCUCAUUUGCUUGCAGUAAAAAGGAUUUUUCGUUAUUUGAGUGGAAGUAUAGAUCUUGGCUUUUGGUAUUCUAAGGGAACACAUAUAAAUUUAACUUGUUAUUCGGAUGCUUAUUUUGCAGGUUACAAGGUCGAUAGGAAAAGUACUAGUGGAACUUGUCAUUUCUUAGGUCAUUUACUUGUUUCAUGGUUUAGUAAGAAAUAAAAUUCGGUUGCACUCUCAACCACCGAGGAAAAAUAUAUUACCGCAGGUAGUUGUUAUGCACAAUCUCUUUGGAUGAAACAAACACUAAGAGAUUAUGACAUUAAUCUUGAAAAACAUUUGGUUGCACAAUCAUUUCUUAGGUCAUUCACUUGUUUCAUGGUUAGUAAGAAACAAAAUUCAGUUGCACUCUCAACCACCAAGGCAAAAUAUAUUGCUGCAGGUAGUUGUUAUGCACAAUCUCUUUGGAUGAAACAAACACUAAGAGAUUAUGACAUUAAUCUUGAACAAAUUCCUAUUAUGUGUGAUAAUACUAAUGCAAAUAAAUCUAUCAAAAAAUCCCAUAGGACUAAGCACAUAGAGAUUAGACAUCAUUUCUUAAGAGAUCAUGUUAAAAAAGAAGAUGUUAUGAUUAAAUUUGUUUCUAUUGAAAAUCAACUUGUAGAUAUAUUUAUAAAACCAUUUAAUGAAGUGCAGUUCAUAAAGAUAAGAUACUAGCGUUAUCACUAUUGCAAUUUGACAUAAGCCGAGAUACCCAAUAGCAAUUUGAAGGCCAUGGUUUCACCACUGCUAUUAGUACACAUCACUCCAUGAAUGGGCAGAGUGACGUGUCAUCCUAUAAUUUGUUGAUUCCUUUUUUGUUUGUGGGCUGUCACGUGUGGGAAGGAUUUAGAGUGUAUAAAGAUGGUGUGUUGACACAGUAAGCAUGCGAAAGGAUAAUUUUUAAAAACCUCCCCUGAGGUUUGGGCUUGUUGCAAGUAGAUGGCGAGAAUCCGUUUAUUUGUAAAAAACCCCAUACGUUUUUGCUCCGUUUGCUUUCCGUUUGGGUAGUUGUGGGCAUUGUUGACAUUUUGCAAUAAACAUAAAUCUUUUGCAACUUUCGUUGCCUUGAGAACAACAGGUAGUCAUUUCAGUUACUGUAUUCUGACACAAAUAAAAACCAAACUUGCAAAAAGAAGUUUGGUUUUCUUUCAAAAUUGUUUGAAAUGUAGCUAAUUUGUAUGAUAAUGCUCAUCUUAUUGCUCGUUGAAGAUCAUUUCAGAGCUUAGUUCAACUCCAUCUAAUUACUGUGAAACAUUCCCAAAAGCUACCUUACUUCUUAUCUCUGCAAAGGAUCAUCUUAAAGCACAAACCACAAGCAUGAACCACUAGUCCACGAUGUAUCGCAGUGAGUUUUGCCGGUGACCCACGAGCACCAACCUCUAUGUCGAAGCAAAUAAGAGGUGAGUUGUUUAAAAACACAAUCUUAUCUGUUUUUUAUGUGUAGAUAGCUCAAAAAGAUAUUGUGAUUUAGAUACAUGGCUUAGGUAAAAUUAGAAUUGAAAUUAGAAAAAUUUGGUUCUGUAAUGGCAGUAAAAUAUGGCAUUUUUUGUUUGAUCCAUGUAUGACAUUUGCUGAAUGUGGUCGUGGACUUACAAUGGUUAAGCCUUAGAGUUUACAACUUAUGGGAGUAUUGGUUUUUGGUUUAAUAUUAGUAGAAAGAAUAAUAAGAGCCAAGCUAUUGGGGUUAAUGGCACUUGUCCUAGCCUAGGGAAGGAGAUGAUAUGUAAGAGGAUGAUGGGCAUUGAAUAGUGGAGGCAUAUUUUAUAAUGCUUUAUAUCAUGGGGCCAUUUUGCCUUGCCUGGAAAUAUAUGCACAAUAGUAACAGCUACAUGCAAAGCCAAUUAGAGCAAUAUGGACCUCUAAUGCAUAUGUUGAUGACAACUUGCAGCUGUGCUUUCUUUGACGUUGAAGUUGUAGUUGAUGGCUCAGUAAUUGAGAUUGGCAGUGUUCUAUCUGAUAAGUACACCUUAACUAAGCUGUGGGUAGACAUCAUUAACAUAUGUUGGGAUACACCUAUCAGAUAUGCAUCUACGAAGGAGUACAAGGUAAUGCUACCUUGGUCUUCAGAGUACCAGAACUUGUUUAAUGAUAAUGACAUGCAAGAUGCAUUCCAAAAGUUAAGGGAAAAAGGAUAUCGUUGGGCUAGAUUUAUUGUGAAUACUUCUGUUGGUCUAAAACUAGCUUAUAAAUCAUCUGAACAUUUAAUCAGCAGUAAUGAUGCAUCUAAAGAUUUUUCCACUCCUGCAAAUCAAGUUUCUGUUAACUUAAAUCUUGAACCUAACAUGGAUUGGUUUGAUUUUGCUGAUGGAGAAGUCUUGGCCAAGUUUCAUGCUCGUAAUUCAAAUGCGCAUCCUGAAAAUACGGUGCUGGAGAAUGAGAUUCCACCUUCACGUUUUGAUGAUACAGAAAACGUAGCAAAGUAUCUUGGUAAUGUAGUAGUGGAACCUAGUGAUGAUGAGAGUGACGGGUCAGGUGAUGAUGAAAGCAACCAUGGUCUUGACGACUACCGAUCUGGUGAUGAAAGUGGUGAAGAAUCUGAUAAUGAAAGUGAUGAGCCUGCUUGGGCUAGAUACGAAGCAAGCUCUGGUGGAUUUGAAUUUAUUGCUGAUGGGGAGAACGUAAUUCUUUAGCCUGGACAGUUAUUCACAGAUGUGUAUGAGUUUAGGAAAGUGAUAAGGGUUUUUACAAUUAGAAAUGGCUUUAGGCUUAAAAGAAUUAAGAAUGAGAACGCAAGGGUGACUGCAAGGUGUGGAAAACCAGGUUGUACUUGGAGAAUUCAUGCAAGCCCCAAUUGGAAUAUUAAGUCAUUUCAAUUGAAGACCUACUGUUCUGAGCAUACAUGUGCAAAGGAUGAUGUUGAUAACUGUGAAGCAAAUGCAGCUUGGAUUGCAGCCCAGUACUUGCAUGUAUUCAAAGCAACUCCUGAUAUAAGUGUGAAAGUGAUUGCUGCUGAUAUGUUUAGAAAAUAUGGGAUUGAAUGUAGCGUGCACAGACUGUACAGAGCUAAAAACAAGGUAAUGGAUAUGUUGGGGCAAGACCACAAGCAGAGUUACAACAAAUACUUUCGAUAUAUGCAUGCUUUGUUCGAAACUAAUCCUGGAUCUACUGUCUCUUUAGAAAGAGAUUGGCUUGGUGGUGCUGUAAAUCCUAUUUUUAAAAGGUUCUUUGUGUUCAUUGAUCGUAGUAGAAGGGGUUUUUUUUCGAGGGAUGUAGACAGUUUGUACGAGUUGAUGGCUAUCACCUCAAAGGUCCUUACAAAGGAGUAUUAUUAACUGCUGUCAGCAUUGAUGCUAAUUUUGGGAUAUACCCCCUUGUAAUGUGCAUUGUCGAAAAUGAAAAUACUAACUCUUGGGUGUAUUUUAUGAAAAAAUUAUAUGAGCAGAUUAGGUGUAAUCAAGGAGAAGGGAUGUGUUUUAUGAGUGAUAGGCAGAAAGGGAUUCUUAAUGCACUUGAGCAAGUUUUCCCACUUGCAUUAAAGAGGUAUUGUUGUAGGCAUAUUUAUGCCAACUUCAAAACGAAGUUUCCUAGUUUAUUAUUGAAGAAGACAUUCUGGAGGGCUUGUAGAAGCGCAAACUUUACUGAGUUCAAUGAGCAAAUGGAGAAGUUGAAAGCAAUUAGUAGUGUUGGCCAUAAAUGGCUAAUAAAGAUACCUAUUCAACAUUGGGCCAAGCAUACAUUCCCACCCUUCACAAAAUGCACACAUGUGACUAAUAACAUGACCGAAUUUUUCAAUAACUGGAUUAAUGGCUACAGAGCGAUGCCUGUUGUGAGGAUGUUAGAAAACAUAAGGAGGAAAAUUAUGAGGUUGAUUCAUACAAGGCAUGAAGCUGCUAAAAGAUGGAAUGAGGAGCUGCCACCAUUGAUGAGGAGAAAAAUUGUUGAGGCAAGAGGGUUGUCUGUUAUUUUUUGGCAUGAAAACACAUCUAAAGUACUAGAAGAUGCACCUAAAGUAUUUAUUGUUGACAUUAGUAAUAAGAAGUGCGAUUGUGGGGAGUGGCAAAUCUCAGGGCUACCUUGUAAACAUGCGAUCUGUUCUAUUGAUGCCAAAAGGUUUAAAGUUGAGGAUUAUGUGCAUAAUUACUUAAAGAAGACUGCUUUUUUAGGCACCUAACAACACUAGUUCAAGCCUAUGCCGGAUGAGACUAAAUGGCCAUUGGUGUUGACUUACAAUCUACAGCCACCACUUGUAGCCAAAUCUGCUGGGAGGCCACAAAACAAGAGAAUGAGGGAGGCUGAUGAACCUGCUACAUUCAAGAGAAGCUGCAGUCUAAGGUGCUCCAGAUGCAACCACUGGGGACACAAUAAAAGGACCUGCCAAAGUUAAAAGCAAUCAAGCAAAAAGGUUAGUCAAAUUUAAGCUUUUUACUAAUGAUUUCUUAUAUAACUGCAGCAUAAAAUACCUUUUUUUUUUUUUAAUUGUCUGAGUCAGAAGAAGAAUGGAGAACGAAGCCUAAGGCCCUAGCAAACUGCGACUGAAGUAGCAACAUCACAGUCCACUGUCUUUGACAAUGGUGAACUCAAUAUCCUUUAAAUUUUGGUUUCAUCCUUUAACUUGAUUACUUAACUACUUUUAUAACUAAUAUUAACUCUUUAUGAUUGUUCUUUUAAUCAUUUAGGACAAAUCACUCAAGAAUGAAACUGUAACAAUUAGAGCAUCCAACAUAUGGCAGAUCAGUUAAUGGUGUAAUAAUAAAGAUAGGCAGACCUACUUAAUCCCGCUAAUUAAUUUUUUUGAGGGAUUAGAUGAUACAACACCUUUUGGAAGGGCAAGGCUUUUGAGAUGGUGUAUCAUUUUUUGCUCAUACUAACUAUAGGUUUGAGACUUUUGUUUUUUUUUUUGUUUUUUGUUUUUGUAGAUUAUUAACCCACUAUCUUUAUGUAAUCAUGCCAAAAACAAGUAGCUUGAUGGUGCAUGCUGGGUUAUCAGUUGUAAAAGUGAAACAAAUGAAUGUACUUCUUGCCUGCUGUUUGAAGGUUGUUUAAAGUGGCCAUAACUGAUACUGCUGCUGUUGUAUUAAUGCUGGAUGGUUUCAUUUGAAAAAAAAAAAAUAGAUUUUAUUAAAUGUAGCUUUUGCAUGUGUGUUAUCUGUGAUGAUGAUGAGAAAUGUUGUGUGUUAUCUGUGCUGAUGAUGAGAAAUGGUGUGAUUAUCUGUGAUCAUGAUGAUAAAUGCCGGUUAUAAAGUUGUUGCCAUUACUCGGAAAUCAAUAUAUGCUAUAUAAUGAGCUUCACAAAAAUAUAUUUGCCUAUGUUAGUUACUUGCAUAUGCAUUUAGUUCAUGUGCAUUGGCAUUUCUCUUUGAUUUAUGAUGCAUUUCAUAUAAUCUUAAUUUCUAUUUACAUUUUGCUACAAAUUAAACAUUAUUUUCAUUAAAAUACUUGAUAUAGAAAAGUCUUACAUUAGUUAAACAAUCAUAGCCGGCUUUGCACCUUCUCUACAUACACAUAACUUAUUCACUUAAGGCCAUAGAAGAACACAACAUCACUUAGAAAUAGAAAAAUGACAUUAGCACACAUUAUUACCUUCAUUACAUUACAUUUCAGCCAUCUGGUUUCAGAUUUGUUUACUAUUCUCUUAACCUCAGCAACCUCUCUAAGAAUUUCUUCAAGCAUCUCUUGCAUUUGUGUUGAUCAUCCACACUGUCUCUACAGACUGUAUCUACUCUAGGACCUUCAAGUAAUGCGAUAUUAUUGAGAUCAUUUGGUGAUGGGUACCACCACCUGAAAUAGCCACACUCAUUGAAAGGGCAGCAAUAAAACAACUUGUUAGGAUUAUCUUCAGACUCUGAUAUGCGCACAAUAGCAUGGACUUUGCAUCCACACUUCUUGUUUGUGAACUUAAUCACAUUUCCAUUUAGCUCGGGUCUCCACCUUGUUAUGCUUCUAUUGUUCCUACUACUAGUUGUUGCAUUUGAACUUCAGAAUCCAUUUAUAGUGUAAGGGAAGAAGAAUAACAUGUUGAGAAGGAGAAAUUGUUUUUGUGUGCUGUGCGUGAGGUUUUAAACUGCUUUACAAGCUUCUAAAUAGCAGGAGACUUGCAAUAUGACCGUUGGUUUGUAACAGUCAUAAUGCAACACCUCUUUAUUUUUUUUCUAAGUUUUUAAUUUUUUCUUUCUUGUAAGAAGUUUAAGAAAAUAUCAAUAAUUUAAAGAGGGUAAAAUAGUCAUAAUUUUUACUUAUGAUAUUGUAAAUAUUUGGAAUUAAUAGGGACAAAAUUGUCAAAAAAAAGAUUUGUGAUUUUCACGUGAACAAUCUCUGCAUUUUUUUUAGCUAUGUUAGUUUAUAAACUAUCACUGGGAGCAAUGUUGUCUUUGCACAGUCAACUAACGGUUAAUGUAAAAAUUAACUGACGGUAGAAAUUUUUUUACAAAUAAAUGAAUUCUCGCAAUCUACUUGCAACAAGUUCAAACCUCAUAGGAGGUUUUUAAAAAUUACCCCAUGCAAAAUGUGUUUCAAAAAACACAAGUUGCUGCUAUGGUGAAGACUAACGACGGUGGUAUCUGGCGAAGGAAAAUGAAUUAAAAAAAAUUAGCACGUGAUGCCUUCCAAGUUCCCAUGUUGUAGGAAUUUGAGGGUCACCCUUGUCUCUCACAAGAACCCUCCACCAUUCACUUUAGGUACUUUUGUCUUGGCUGUUGCUUCUGCCAUUUUCUUGGGCAUGGAUCGACGCUACAUGCGCUUUUCAAGAUCUUGUUGACUUCAUAAUUUAUCAUCUCUGCUUCUGCAUACUCGAUUAAACUUUCUUAUUAAUUAGCUUAAAAAGUACAAUUUACAGAAUGUCACCGACAACAUUAUCUAGGAAUAGCCGUAGAAACGACUAUAAAAAUACACAAGCUGCCAGUACAUAAUGGUAGCACGACUGAAUUACUAACACGGGGCAAGGAUGCAAUACUGAUGACAUAAAUUAAGGAAACGAAAUAUAUGGAAUAGAAAUUUUGUUGCAGAGAGUCAACUGAAAAAAUGGAGAAAGAUCCAGGGUAUCCAAGUCUGCAAUGGCGUAACGAGUAUGCAUUGAUUUGCUGCGGCUGGCAGCUUCCAAAACUUCAUUUUUUGCUAAAGAAAAUUCUAUUUACAACAUCAACUGGCAAAGCAUAGGCUGGAUCAAUUGGUUUCAGUCCUGGAUAUUCAAGAAGUGAGAGUCCUGCAUCAACAGCAGACAUUGAAUCACUUAAGUAUCAGUAUAACAUCUAUAAAAGAAUUGUAUCGCUUGCCAGGCAAACAGUCAAACAACAAGAGAACAUUCUAUCCACCUCAGAAAAUAAAUGAAGUAAAAAAGGAAAAAAAGAAAAAAUUGGUCUUCCUAACCAUUUCUUCAAGAUUUACAAUUCCAAAACAUCUAUAGAAUAAUCUUCUUAUAAUUACCGAUAUGGGAUAGGCAACGUAUGAUUGACGAUGGUAAUGUUAUCCAGGUUUAACUAGGAAAGGCUAGCAAAUGUGGAACGGGCUGAGAGCAUAUUCCACAUAUGAAAUUGGUCAGGCUACAUAAAAAAAGGGCAAGAGUACUAGGAUUCACACAAGUGGUAGGAUCAUCAAAACUCUUUACAAAUUAAAUAAAGAAUGACUUAAUUGGAUGAAAGUAGAACAGUUAGUAAGGUCAAUAAGCAAAAUCAAAGCUAAUAGAUACCCGCUACUCCAAAAUAUGUAUGGAAGACAUCAACGGCAUCAUCAGGUCUAUCUGAAAUUCCUCCAUUUUCCAUGUCCUGCAAAUACGAAAAAUUAAAUGUAAUAUCAGUUAAAGUCUUGGCAGCAACUCUGGAAUUCAAGACUCCAUAAAGUAACAAAUUAACAAAUUCUGGCUCGCCAGAGGUUUGGAAAAAGCCAUUUCCACUCAAACUAACCUGACAGUCCAAGAUGAACUUAACAAGCUUGUCCUUAUUGAUCCAGUGGACUCUGUCAAUCAUGAUCAAGCUUGAAAGAACCCACCAGGAGUAGCAAACCUGAGUAAUUAAACUACAUCACUGUGAAGAGGACCUACAAGAAUGUUCCAUCAUGAGGUUGGGCUGAGAGAAAAUACCCACAUCAGGAAGUUUCUCAGGGCGGCCAUUAAGACCUCCAGAUUUGACUUGUCGCUCACAUAACCACCAGCCAAGAAGGUCCUUGUCAACAUGAUGCAGAGCCCCGGCAAUAGCAAGUGCACCAACACAACAGAAGACUGCAAUCACGACAGAAAAAUUUAACACAUUUUGAGUCCAUUUUUAACAUACAUCUGGUGCUUAAUGCAUGUAUUACUGGAUUGGGGAAUAAAGAAACAUGUCAAUUCUUUAGACGAAAUUAAAGAAAUGCCACCCGCCUUCGAACAUAUAAUUGCCAUCUAGACUGUAAAAUUAGUUGAAAUAUAUAUUUCCAGAAAUCUAAUCUCCCACAAUGUUCCAUUUUGAUGUCAAUGGGUUAGAAGCUGAAGCAUAAAAUAGUAAAUGCAUUACAUACUUUGCCCUGCAUGAGAUUCUCCACCAGGAGUGCACCCAAAUCCACCAUCCAGAUUUUUGCAACUCACUAUGUACUCCACGGCCUUAUCCACAUUGAUUUUAUCCAGCCGCUGUAGUAUUGAGAGACAACAUAUAGCGAUAUAAGAAAACCUACAAAAUCAAUUAGUAGAAAGAGAUUAUUUCAAGCCAAGCACAAGCUGUAGAUAUCUGCGAAUCCAGGAAAAUUUACCGUGUAUCCACUUCCCCCCAUAUGUCUCCAGAAAAGGAGCCAUCUUCAUUUUGCAGCCCCACAAUAUCUAACUCAAAGGUUAAGUUCCACAAGAAUGCUUAAAGUGGCAAUGUUUUAUACCAAAAAAAAAACUCACAUCUAAUGCAGCUUAUGUGCUAGCCUGUUUACUAUUGGUAUUGGAGUUACCAAAACAUACAAAUUAUAAAAUUACAGAAAUCAGACUCUUUAGUCAAGUGAAAUUUCAUAUAUGUGAAAACAAAAUCAUUAUAGUCAUAAAAAAAGUUGUUACUUCUGUGAAUCUUAUAAGAAACAAAGCAUUAUCUUUAUAUUGAAUGGUUGACGAAUCCCUACCAAUAAUUUGACAAAGUAAUAAGGAUACAAUUUGACACCUUAUCGGCAUCAAGAAUAUCUAACUUAUCAAAAAGGGCCAAAACUUGCACGGCGCUGAGGGUAUACAACACAUGUGGAUCAUGUCCAAUAUUACCAGCAAAACCACCUGCAAAGAAAAAUUUCUUUCAUCCAUCACAUUAUAUUUUGAUAUUUUAACUAAAAGUACUACAAAGUGAUUUACUUUGUCUAAAUGCAUGGUCAUUUUGUUCUUAAAAGUCAGAUUCAAAAACAAGAGAACUUGCCAAGGAAAUAACAAAUUGGAUAAUUAUUGACGCAUAAAGACACAAUAGUAAGUAUAGGAAAAAAGCUUCUGUACAAACCAGAUUCAUCCUGACACUUCAAGAUCCAUGAAAUAACAUCUUCUUCAUCUACAGCAUCAAGCUUUCCUAAAAUAUCGAGGGUCGUCAGCCCCCAAUAUGCCCCAUUCAAUCUCAAAUGUUCCAUCACCACAGAUUCAAAACUAUCCUUUUUCUGAGAAAACAUCAAUGAAAAUUGCAAAAAACCAAUUUCAAUAAGAGUUCUAUUAACCACGGUAAAAGUACAAGAUAUAUAGGAAGUGUGAAAUUAAACCUACCUUCUCAACUGAAAUAAUGUAUUUCACAUGUUUAUCUGCAGCCAGCUCUCCCAUCUGUCAUCCAACAUUAAACACAAUCAUUUUGAACAUUAGGUAAUUUCGUGUAACUUUUGAUCAAAACAAUUGAUUUUCAUCCGCCGGCAUCUUUUCACAUUACAUUAUCUACAUGAAUGCUCCCCUAAGAUAUUAUUAGAAAACAAUCAAGACUUAUAAAUUGAUUUCUUCUUAAAUUAUUCCUAAUUGAUAAAGCAAAUAACAUGAAUACAUAAAAAUCAUUCCACAGGUAAAUUAUUUGCAAUUCGCUCUUUUCCACGUCAAAUCAGUCAGCUUAACAUCUCAGUUUCAAUCUGUUGCUUUCAUUACUUUUUUUCUGCUUAUUCCGCUUACAAAGAACCAACAAUGAUCCAAAACUCAGAAAGAUACUUGAUUUAUUUGCAAAUUGCUGCAAUGAUUUCCAUUAUUACUUUCUCCCAUGAAUUGUGCUCUUAACAUUUAGAAGAUCAUAUUUACAUCUUUCUUACAACUGCAAUAUUUCAACAAGUUUAAAUUAAAAGAAAAAAAAAACUUUAACAAAUUUCUAAAAAGCCAAAACACCAAAACCAAUCAACAUUGCUAACCUCCAAAUGCAGCAGCAGUGAUGUCAGCGGCAGCGGCUUCACAACAGCAAAUGAGAACUGCAAAACAUGACGACAUAAACUAAUUUUUGUUUUGCUUCUAAUGGUGACUGGUGAGCGGGUUUGUGGAAGGAGACUAGUUUAUUUUACUUUCAGAUUUAAGUAGGCCUGGUUCGGUUCUGAAACGAAACCGAUUGAUUCCAAAUAAUAUGAACCAAAGCCGAACAGAAAUUUAGAACCGAAUUGAAUUCAGAAUUCAGAAUUCAGCAAGCAGAGUGAAGCAGAGUGAAGAAGCAUAUAAUCUACUGCCCCAUUAAGUACAAAUAUAAACAAAGAUUACAUAAAAGUAAACAAACUAUGAACAAAAACAAGAGCUUCAGCAUAGUAUAUAGUAUAUGAUGAGUACAAUUUUUCCUCAUCAAGGGACAAAAAACAACAGUGAAAGGGAAAGAGACAAUCACGUGAAAAUUUCUAACAACAAACGUUCAAAGAAAUGAAACCGCUAAAGUUUCUUCUUUUCCCACACCCCAGUCUUAAUCAAGUUAAAAUACCUUAAUCACUGCAGCAACAACAACACACAAAAAAAAAAAAGAUUUUUCUUUCGCAUGAUAUUUCCGUAGACCCUAAUUCCCAGAAUAAAUAAAUAAAUAGAAAAAACGUUAACUACAAACUACUACUGAACACAAAAUUGACACAAACGAAAUCCCUAAAGACGAAAAUUUCAGUAACCAAAAAUUAUGCAAAUGACCAAAAAAAAUACCUUUCUUUAGCCACUUCAGCCAAAAUUUGAGGGAAGGCCUCAGCUUUACUGACGUUGGAAAGCGCCUGAGGAGGAGACGCAGCCAGCGACGGUUGGGGCUAGCGGAAGUCGAGUUCUUGAGGAAACUGGGGGAGGUGGGGCUGACGGCAGUCAGGCUGAGAGAAUGAGACGUUGAGAGACCGUGAGAGUAAGAUGGUGACCGGAGAAGGAGAGAGUGAGAGUGAGCGUGAGAGACAGGGGGGCUGGCAGGCUGCUGCUGCGUGAGAGAGGGCUAUUCUAGAAUUAGAAAUUAG